UUUAUCGAAAUUCCAAGCUAAAGCGCAGGGGUACGCGACAAUGAUAUUUAGUCGAGUUGUAAAAUCAACUCUGCACAGAAAUUCUUCGUUUUUAUUCCAUGGCGAAUUUCAUAAUAAUUUGGGGUGACGUUGUUGAAUUGAAAAAUAAGGAGAAAAAAAAUUGAAAAUCCAGUCAGUUUAAAUUGGCGGCUGUGACGAGGCCGGAAGCUUUUUUAUCCUUUUUCCCUUUUCCUUCUGUUUCAUCGUCAGUAGCACCACGUCAGGCCUAUUGGUCGGUUCGCGCUCUCCCGUUUUUUUUACUUAAUCGUCGAUCAUCGUUUUCAAUGAGAAAGACUCAUAAAAAAAAAGCUUUCAACAGCUUAGGCGGAAUCGCGGAGAAAUAUAAUCGUUAAUCCGAGUGCGCGAGUGUGUGAUCCAGGUGUGAUCAAUGAAAACCAGUGACAAAUAAAAGAAGAGUUCGUUUCUAACGUAACCGAAGUGGUUUUUAAAAUGAUAGUCUUGUAGAUAGGAUGAGGCUCUGUGUUUCAUGCGUCUAUUGGACCCUCCUCCUCGUCUCCGUUGUUUCCAGUUGUUUGUUGUUUCUAAUCGUUGCCUCCGAGAGUACUCAUACUUCCAACAAACCAAGAGGCAUCAGCCAAGAAGAGAGUAUCCAGUUAGAAAAUGUUGUCAAAGAGGUCAAUGAUGCUCGUUCGGAGUCUGUGGAUAAUAAAAUUCCUGAUGUACGUGCGAGGCCAACCGUGAAAACAGAAAAACAACAUCUUCAUCCAGUGGAAAGCGAUGGGGGACCGUCGGGUCACAGCACAUCCAAAAAGGAGUCCAAGAGCGAACAUAAUCUCAAUGUUCUCAAGCAGAGUCUAACACCACAGCCGAAUUUUUCACAAGGGAUAUCAGAAACAGGUCAGGCAGUGGUUUUGACUCUCGUGGACACGGCAGCCGCCGAGUUGCAAAGUUUGGCCGAGCCUCGAUUGUCGUCAGACAUCCGUUCGAGGUCACUGCCAAAAAAUGUGACCCUGAGGACGACGACGACGACGACCGGGCCGAUUCCUGCGACGACGACGACAACGACGUUGAACAGCCUGAAGCACGAGCAAUCGACGGAACAAACGGCGAAAACGAGCUCCGGGCCCCCGCCCGUUGUUCCAUUAGCCACCGAGACACCGAGCAACGCUACAAAAACUUUGUCCGCCCUCCAAGACGAAGCGGCUUCCACCCAAGCUGCUGCUCGAGAAGGAAAUGACUCGAAAGACGAAGUUGUUGUCGUCAGAGCCGAACAAAAGUCCCCCGACGAAACGGCCCACCGGAAACCAGAGGAGACUCAGGAGGACGAAACGAAGGACGAAACUCCAAAACCCGAUGAGAACUUGACUCCAGCUCCGGAACUGGACGAUGGGGCAGCCAGGGCCAAACUCGUCGGUGGAAGCAGCGACGAAUCCGCAGCUGUCAUAUUGGACGGCCUCGUCGCUUCCGGGUCCACCGACCAUCAUCACGAAGACAUACCUUCCUUCAGCGAAUGGGCACAAAAGAGGUUGGAGGAAGCUGAGAAGAAAAAAACUCACCCAAACGCUUCGAUACAGAAUCCCGGAGGUCCAGGCCGGGGUUUGGGUGGAAUGAAGAUGCGUUCGAAGAAUUACGCCUCGCCGGACUGCGGGGCGAAAAUAGUAGCGGUGAAUCCGGAGGCCCGGAGCGCCCGAAGCGUGUUGGUAUCGACUCGAGACGAGUACAUGUUGAAUCCGUGCACGUCGAGGGUGUGGUUCGUGGUGGAACUGUGCGAGGCGAUACAGGCGAAGAAAAUCGAGUUGGCGAAUUUCGAGCUGUUCAGUUCGUCCCCGAAGGAUUUUUCGGUUCACGUUAGCGAUCGUUUUCCAACCCGUGAAUGGAGUCCCGUCGGACAAUUCGCUGCCAAGGAUCAACGGGACAUUCAGAGUUUUUCACUGAGUCCCCAGCUGUUUGGCAAGUUCAUAAAGGUCGAGUUACACUCGCAUUACGGCUCGGAACACUUUUGCCCGAUUUCGUUGUUUCGAGCCUACGGGACUAGCGAGUUUGAAGUCUUGGAAACCGAAACGGAUCAUCAGGAGAGCGAGGAGGACGAGAAUAACGAGGAUGAGGACGAGGACGAAGCUUUGGAUUCGGAGGCCGGAGCCGAGACUAGAAAUUUGUUCGGCAGUGCUCGCGACGUCGUCAUACGCAUCGUGAAAAAGGCUGCUGAGGUGCUCGUGAAAACUGGAGACCCGAGCAACAACAACAUCACGAAGAUUCAGGAAAGCAUUGAGGGUAGCAUAACUGGUAACUCGUUCGCGACGUGCAUGACACCGAGAUACACGAUAAACUGUGCCAAUUGUACGGAUGAUCGAUUCGCCGCGGUAUUCGAGUUGUUGAAUUGUCGGGCUCGCCACCUCGACAACAUUCUGCGUAACGCAUUCGUAAACGCGUCGCUACGAACCGGUGAAGUGUGUUCCUCUUACGGUUUCGACGGAGCGAAGCUUCCCGAUUCGAAGUACAACUUCUCGAAUUCAACUCGCGAAGGGAUCAACGUCGAAACUGCAAAAAGAACAUUUUCUCCGGCUCGUCAUGCACCCUUGAACUUUCUCGUCUCGAUUUAUUCCCCGGAAUAUAUACUGGCGCUCUGUAACGUUAUCGCGACGAAAGAAAGGCGAUUCGUUCUCAAUUCGAGCUACGAAUUGACCGGUAAUUUGUCGGUCAAUUCCUCGACGAGAAUUGACACGAACGCCGGAAAAUUAGAAGCCCUCGAACCCAAUGGACAACCAAGAAUCGUCACCACAUCGACCUGCCAGUUGGACGUCGAUGGAAAUUCCUGUCAAAGUAGUCUCGCCAGCAGGGAAACUAAAGUCACUAAGAUUCGAAGCUCAAGCUCCAGUGAGCAAGCUGCUUCGAGCUCGACGAGCCCUGAAACCACGUCGACCAAAUCGGACAGUCUCGCCUCUCAAAUAAAACCCACGAAAGCGCUUAGCCGGGAAGAUAUCCGGAAAGAAUCCUCCGUCCCGAUCCUCGAGCCCAGCAAAGAUCCGAAUGAAGAAAGCAUCCUACCGGAAGUCUUGACCACGCCGUCACCUGCGCUAAACGUCGCCACGGCUACCACAAGAAUCAUCGAAGAACCAGCCUCUCCUCAAACUUCUCUCGAACCCACGACACAAAUUCUCACUACCCUCGUCGCUCCUCCUUCAACCUCAACCAGUCGAACCUCUCCAGAUCUCAACUCCCCCAACCAAGAUAACACUCACGAGAAUGCUUCAACUAUGAAACAGGAUAAUCCUGAUCAAGACACGAAACCAUCCGGCAAAACCGAGAACGGCGAACAAGAGGCCAAAUCAAUUGCCCAAGAUCAAAUGAGCUUGGACAGCAUCUUCUCCGAUCUCAAGGACCUUGAAGCUGACGGUACGAGCAUUCAUGGAAACGCUAAUCACAAUGCUAAUGUUGUUGCCCAACCUACCGCGAGUACCACUCCGCAACAGAAGGAAUCCGUGUUUCUUAGACUCUCCAACAGAAUAAAGGCUUUGGAGCGGAACAUGUCACUGAGCGGCCAAUAUCUCGAGGAGCUGUCAAAGCGUUACAAGAAGCAAGUAGAAGAAAUGCAACGUUCGUUGGAGCGUGCGACGAGCGCGAUGGGCGAAGAAUCACGAAAGGGUGAGGAGCGUGAUCUGCGACGGAUCGAGGAGAUAACAGCACUCCGGGACGAAAUAACAAGUUUAACGGAAUCGAUGGAGAUUUUGUUGUCCGACCGUAACAGCUGGCGAAGCAAAUUAUCGAGCGUUUGUCAACAUUUUGCCCUGGUAGUUGUGGAAAUAAUUGUUUUCAUGUUGGUCGUGUCGUAUUGUCGACGCAACAGUGAGUUCGAAGACGUCGAAGAGGGUGGUGUUUCGAUGGAGAAUGAAGUAGAGCGACGUCGAAGCGCCGGUGCGAUGUCGACGUGCGGAGGAACGGGAGGAAAAAAGUCGAAAAAACGAAGACCGAGUGAAAUCGCAUCGCGAAUUGGUGGCACAUACAAAGAGCUCAUGAUAGACGAGCGUUCUAACCACGAGACUAAAAAGGAGAGAAAAAAACGACGUAAGAGAGAGUUAAACGGUAGAACGGUGAAUGGGGAGACGAGGAAAGAGGCGAGUCUCGAGGACAAUGUACCCGGAGGCACGGCAUUACCCUCGAGAAGAUCAUCCUCCACGGAGCCGAUGUCUUCGCACGCGAAGCAAUUGGAACUUCGUAACACGCGAAGAAGGCCCGAUUCCGCCCCGGAAUAUUCGGGUCUGUGGAUCGAUCGUACUUCCAUUAUCGAGACGUCGGUGCUGGAUGAAAACCUCGAAGACAACGAUGAACCAAUGUUGGAAACGAAAAAUAAGCGUCGCUCGCUCAUCGAAGAGAUGAGCGCACUUAAUUUUUCCUCCGAAAGUCCCAUCGUGGAAAACAGAGAGCAGGAAAAAAGCACGGGCUUGUCCUUGUUCCGAGGUGGCGGUUUCCUCAAAGCAGCCAAAUUGUCAUCUCCCUCGUUCAUGAAAACUGCCCUGGGCUCAAGAAGCAAAAGACUCGGGAAAGCAGCCAAACGUGAUAACAAUCCACAAUUAAGGUCUGAUAACUGGGAAUGGUAUUCGAGAAAUUCCAGUAAUAGAUCCGACAGCGGGAGCCCCUCGGGCAUGCCCAUCGAUCACUUCGAUUCGAUCAGCAACGGCCAGGAGGACAACUCUGCGACAAAAAACGGCCACCAUCGUGGCACGAGCAACGAAUCGGAAAGUGGCAGCUCAACUACAACGCCAAGUACGAAACAAGAGAAAAAAGUGGGACUCGGUAUUAGAAAAAUGGUGAGAAAAUUUUUCUGAUUGAAGUAGAUUCGUUUAUUGAAUUUCGAAGAAACAAAAAAUACGUCACACUAUUAAAAAGACGAGUAAAUAGUGACGUCACAGACACGCGCGUACGACACGACUGCGAUAUUAGUCGUAAUCCUAUGAAACUGCUCGAUUUUUCAAUGAUACUUUUCCCAAAUAUCUUACUAAAUCGAGCACGUUUACGACGACGAGAACUUUUAAUGAAAUUCUCGAUAAAAUCAGGCUGCGUGAUACUGGAGCCAGAAUUUAUCCACGGAUGUACGAAGAUUAUGGAAAAUUCCAAGAUUCCGGGCUUAGUUUUAAUGGAUAUCCCCGCAUAUCCAGGAACUUGGCUGAAAACUCCAGUGUGACGGGAGAAAGACUUUGGGAGUGCUCGAUCUUCGCCAUAGACGACGCCUCGUUGCGUUGUAAAAGUCAGAAGACCGCGAAAGUGCUGAGAAAAGAAAAAAAGAGAGGGAGAGACUCGAGGAGCAAACACGGAAAAGUUGAUAAAAAAAAAAAAAAAAAACAACAAAAAAAGAGGAAAAUAAACGAAUAAUUAAAAAAUUAAAAAACACGCUGUGAUAAAACGCUGCUGCGGAUAUGAAGCACGCAACCGAGAAAGUGUACUACUGGUUUUAUGAAACCGGGCAGGGGAAAGGGAGUAAGGAAUUGUCCUAUUACUUAAUGUGCAUUUAAAAGACGAUUUAACAAACGAAUCAAUGAUUCGGACGAAGAAAUAAAAGAGUGAUUUGAUAACGAUCGAUUUAAAUGAUAAAUCGACAACUCGACGAUACAAAUAUCGGCUCAUACGAGUCUUGUAAGAUUCAUCAAGUGUGUGAACUAUUGUAAUGAUAUGUAUAGCUUUAGAAAAUGAAAAAUAAUGACUAUACAGAAAUAAGAAUAUUGCUAGGCGUUAUUGUUACAAAUCAUGAUCGAACGAAUGUUCCGUCGUGAUAAAUCGCCAUCGUCAUUGUCACCGUAUAUAUUUUUCGUUGCUUAGGUCCAUGUAUCAUCUAAGCUUUCAUUGUCAGUACGUCGAGUAUUUAGGUGAUCGCUGAGUCAAUUGUAAAAAAAAAAAAAUCAUAAUAAAACGAAACGAAAAUUUCGAAAGCAAUCGGUCAUUGAGAAUUAAAAAUCGUGAUCGUUGUCAAAUAGUCAAGAUAAUUGUAAAUUAUCUUGUGUAAUUUACAAUUAUCUUGUGUCUAAAAGAAUUUUCACUUUUCUUCUCAACAUCAAAGUUUUGCAGGAUUGUUCAACUUUUAUUCCGGCAUGUGAAACGCCUAGCAAAUAGAAUUCGUGGAAAUUGUAAAAUAAACAAAAGUUGAAUUUCAGGCAUUAGUUAUUUUUGGAUUUUAUCUGAAGAAUCGAGUUUCCUACGAUUUCUCUUAUUUUUUAUCCUUUUCAAUAUUCCGCGAGAAUACAGAAUUGAAAUUCGGUCGAACAGUUUCGUAACUCGCGUCAGAACGAAAGAUGUAAUUAAUCAAAUAUUUUCUCGAAUUAUUCAUUCAGCAUUAUUUUUGUUACAAAGUUUUUUUUUAUUGAAAUUUUCAGCGACACCGACGGUUCUGUACAUUUCACGACCCUGUGGAAUGGGAAAGAGUUUUAGCACAUUUUCACCACGCUUUUGUACGAACUAAUAAAUUUUUUGUCAUCCAAGCCGGUCAAACGAUGCGAUUGAUUCUUGGCCUUGAAAAACUUAAAUUUAUGCUACUGGCCGAAAUCGGGGCAACUUUUUCCAAUCCUCGGCAGUAUUAGUCGCCUCAGUAUUUAUACGAGUUUGAUUUUGAAGAAAUCCAUGAGGAUUGUUAAGAGUUUUGAUGGCUGAUGAACGACCGACGACCUUAAUCAUUUUUUAUUCGAUGCACAGAUCAAAAAUCGAAAUUUUUAUUUCCAAGUACGUUGAACGUACCCCCCCGUAGAUGGAUGCAAUUCCAUAUCAUCAAAAGUCCUCCUGUCGUACGUAGUUACACGUGAAUUAAUCGAAAUUACAAAUAAAAAUUAAGCAAAAAGAAAAAAUCGAAUAGAACGUCGUGCAUGUGUGUACAAGUGCGAAUUUUGAGCUCAGUUGUUGCUCUCGAAUCUGAGAAAGGGAGUCUCGCCCAAUAUGCUGGCAAUAAAGCGAGAAACACUGAAAACAGAAAACAAUUGUUACAUGUAUAUUAUGAAUAUAUAUGAAUAUAUAAAUAUAGAUGAUCGUAGCAAUGAAAAAGACGCGUACUGCACGAAAACUGUAAAAUAUUUAUCAAGAAUUAAGGCUGUUUACUUAGUUAACGAUGAAUACUCGACGUUUCUUCGAAUAUUUGCACUGUUCUUUAAGGAUGUAUAGGGAUUUCAUGAAAUGCUAUUAAAAAUUCAUGAACAUUUGAUUGCCCAUCACCUUUUAUAGGGUAUAGUUGAAUACGAAAUAUUUAAAAUUGUACACAAAUAAACAGCAUCGAAGAGUUUUAGCUACGAA
rnacentral:misc_RNA from 1 species